UUCAAGAGAAGAAAGGCAAGAAUAGAAAAAUAGCACACCAGGAGGUUACUGUCAAAGAGCAUUAUCACUGUGUCAGUUUUUUCUAAUUUGGGCUUUUGGACUUUGUGUAAUAUUCCCAUGGAACAUGGAAUUCAAUUGGUUUCUUUGUUGUUGUUUUUUCUCUGCUUGUGUAUCGUUUGUAGUAUGACUUUCUGUUUUAUAGCUUUGUGUCCUGCCCUUCUGUGUUUUACUUGUGUGUCUUUGGAUUCCACCUCUUUGUGUCUCCUGAUGUCAGUUAAUUUCCGAUUGGAGUACUUAUUAUGACACAACCGAGCACCAGCUCUGAGGAAAAGUCUCCACCUGGCAUCUUGCUACUCGGGUCUUUACGACAGACACUAAAUGAGAACCACCAGGGACAUAAAAGGACGGCUAAAGGUCACGGACAUCUGCAUGCGGCAGGGAAAGUUGAGCGUGAGGGAUCACGGAGGCCGGCGAGACAAAGAUGGUGAGUGAGGGAAUGACAGGAAUGCAGUCGCCACUACACAAGCUAAUCACAGUAAAUGUCAACCCAGCCACUCACUCCUGCCAUUCCUUGCUUAUUUAUUUCAUUUCCUGCCACACAAUUGUCCGUCUGUGUGACUUCCUGACAAAAUGAAAUGUGUCUGCCUUUUGUAUUUGUCUGUACAUGCCUAAUGAAGCAGAUUUCAUA